UUAACUCAAAUUUGUAUGGAGUUGGAGAGUUUAUCUACGUUAGCCGCUAGGGGCGCUGUUCCAAUUGCAUACAAAUUUUAGUUA
rnacentral:pre_miRNA from 1 species